rnacentral:lncRNA from 1 species
CUUCAGAUGUCUGCCUGCAGCACACGUCAGGAUGCUGAAUUUAUUAGUGUUUCCUCUUCUCCAGUGCCGGCUUUCCUUGAACCACAUUAUCGUCACAGAAGAUGGAGGACUAGUGCCCAUAAGGGAAGAAGAUGACAUCUAAUAGGU